rnacentral:sRNA from 1 species
CAUGCCCCUUAUACGCUGGGCUACACACGUGCUACAAUGGGUAGAACAGAGAGUUGCAAAGCCGUGAGGUGAAGCUAAUCUCAGAAAACUAUUCUUAGUUCGGAUUGUACUCUGCAACUCGAGUACAUGAAGUUGGAAUCGCUAGUAAUCGCGAAUCAGCAAUGUCGCGGUGAAUACGUUCUCGGGUCUUGUACACACCGCCCGUCACACCACGAGAGUUGGUUGCACCUGAAGUAGCAGGCCUAACCGUAAGGAGGGAUGCUCCGAGGGUGUGAUUAGCGAUUGGGGUGAAGUCGUAACAAGGUAUCCGUACGGGAACGUGCGGAUGGAUCACCUCCUUUCUAAGGAGUAUAAGUCUUUCUCUAUUCUAUUGGUAAUGUUCUUUACAUUACUUCUGAACAUUGGAAACUAUAUAGUAGGACAAACAAGAAAAAAAUUAACUCUAACAAUUUCUUAGAGUUAGCUGUCAAAAAAUAGAUUAAAAUAAUUAAGGGCACACAAAGGAUGCCUAGGUAGUAAGAGCCGAUGAAGGACGUGGUA